rnacentral:lncRNA from 1 species
CUGGGCUGCCCGAAGCAGAGCAGCACAACACACCUUGAAAGAUGGCAAGCUGGGGCCUGGCUAGCAUUCCUGCCCCUUCCCUUCUUCACCAGGAACUCUACACAGGGCAGCCUUUGCCUCAGUUUUCACUGUGUUGAUUUUUUUUUUUCCCUCACGUUCAACUUCAGAAGGCUCUUUUCACUCCAACGCAUGGAGUUUUGGGUCCCGGUGACAAGCAAUGGGGACAGCCCAGCCUGGAUGAGCAGGAAGGCUGGAGGGCAUCCAUGCUGUUGGGCUGUCAUUUUGGGAAUUAGGUGUUUGGAAGCUGCACUUCACCUCCCCGAAAGGUCAGGGAAGUUUGGUGGAAGACAGUCAUGUGGCAAACGGUGCUUUAGUACCACUGCUCUCCCGAGGGAUGCUUCCUGAGGGCUAGCAGCCUGCUUCACUGCUUCUCGGGGGAGCCAAGAAAAGGAAUCAAGCUGCAGUUGUCAGUCUGCUUCUCCCUCUCUGCUCCAACAACACCAUAGGAGUCCCCUUGCAACGGUUUGUGCAUGGAACCUCCUUCAGAGCUUCCCGGCAUCCCUUUUCAAGCGACUCACAGAGCCUGCAAAAGAGCCUCCCUUAGGCCUUUGGUCUUGUUUCACCAUCGUGGCACGAGCGUGACCCCAAAUGGAGGUCAUUAUUGCUAAUUACCAGAUCACUUAGCACGAACACAGGAGGUAUAACCGCACCGACGUUCGCACGGAGAUCUGGAGGCUGUGCUGACAGCACCCACCCAGCACAGCCCGGCAGUGACAGCCGCCAGCCUGCAGGCCCACCAGCAGGCCGAGCUGGGAAUUCCCUCAGCUCCGGCCACCCUGCUGCUGAAACAACGCCGUCUGCACGUUGUUAAUGUUGUUAAUCAGACCGGGACUGCGCCGGAGGAGUGGGCUGCAACGCCUGGGUGCGUGAAGGAGGGACAGACGGCUUCACAGCCACAGCUCUGUUACAAGCACUGGGAAAACCGUGCGAGCUUUCAUUCUCCAGCUGCAAAACCUGAACACUUGAGAGCUCUGCAAGGAGAAAUACACCAGCAAUCCUGACCGAAGCAGCGCCCGUGCCCCCUUAACCCUGAUGGCUCGGGCUGUGUGAGGAAGAGCGGCCUCACCCCAGCCCCGCGUUGGCGCGAGCAGUCGUGGUGAGCGCAUCCCUCCCUGCUCUCCUGCACAGCUCCGGGUGCCCGAGGCACGCAGUGCUUGUGUCGGGCUCUGCAGAGGAGCGCAGCCAGUGGGAGCUCGUGCCUAUCGGGCUGCCGGGAGUAGCCGCACGGAGCGACGGAGACAACUUCAGGGGUGUACUUCUAACAGCUCUCCUGCAGCUAUCAGCACAUGCCGGUGGACUUGUUAUAGCACGCUGAACGGCACGUUCUUGCUGGCUCACUGGGGCCUGAUCCAAAGCUUACUGCAGGCAAUGAGGAAGAUUCGUGGACUUCUUCAGUGGCCUUUGGACUGCCCUGCGGACACAGAAGCACAAUGGCUGGGAUCUGCAGAGCGGAAUAUUCAGCUCAGGAGCUAGGAGUUUCUGAUAAAUCACCGCAGGGAUUUACCCCAGGGUCUCUUCUACAGUGUUUCAAGUAAAGAGGAUGCUGGGAUGGAGUAUUUAGCUAACAGCGUAAUCAUGCAGUGAUGAACUGCGGAGUUCACAGCCAAAGAACUGAUCUGCAAGCAAUGCUGGAGGCCUCCCGGCAGACAGCAUGUCACGUCCACUGCCACGUGCUGUAUCCUUGAAAGCAGACUGUCACGAGGGGAGUUGGAGAGAACAAGUGCUGCUCCUGAAAAACUAUGGCAAAACAGGCAUCGACCUUAACUUCUUUCCAACAUCACUUCAUUCUGCUCUUAGAAUAACGUUGGAAACAAAGCUGUACCUCGGUCAUUGGCCGUUGAAUUCAUCCCAGAAGAAAUGCAAAGACCACCAACAAUGUGGACCAGGGUGGCUCCAUGUAUGUCCUGUGCAGUGGGACAUAGCCUGGAAGAGCAGAUGCGUGCAGAUAGCAACGCUGGGCUUCUCAACACUGGAAAUGGUUUGUCACAAAAGAAGAGGAGAAAGGUCUAGUUCAGCUUGAAAAGAUACAGCUUUGUAUGAAAUGCCAUAUGCUGCCUGACGAAGCUUUCCUUUAAGGUUGUACCUUAUGCAUUCGCGUAAGCCUGUGAAAAGGAGCAAAAACAAAUGCUUGGAUCUGAUUUCUGUCUUCCUCUGGAUCUUUGGAUCAGUUCUAACUCCCACCCAGCCUCAUUCAUUGAUUCUGAUGGUGGUAUCCGGAGCACCUGCUGUGGGCAAAACUGUUCUUACAUCAUCUUACAAACACAGUGACCUCAAACAUGAAAUCAUGAGGUUAAUACCAUACCCAAGGCUUCCAAUAAGGCCCUUUCCAGGGGUCUGGGCUGAGUUUUUGAAAACGCCAUGGUAAUUUCUAGCUCUUGAUCAACACAAGAAUUACCAAAGGUAGAAAGCGUUCUGCCGUACAAGAACACAAGAGAAUGGUCCAGCAGAGCAGCAGUCUGAAUGGGGGAGGUCAGAACCACAGUUUAAAUUACUCUCACCUUAGUUUUGAUUUUUGCCCUGUAUAAAAUGAUAGAGAAUAUAUUUGUUCUGCAUUAGCUACUUGGAAUAACGUGCUUUUGGAGGCACAGCUUUUGCCAUACCUGAUGUAUUUCACCUGGUAGCGUUUGCUGCAUCAACACCUUUUUUUUUGGUACAAAGUAUGAAAAAUUGAGAGUCGAAUCAGAAUGGGGAAAGCCUGAAGAUAAUCCAAGCAUGGACUAACAACCAAAUUCCCAUUCCUCCGCUUUCAAUCCAAAUGUAUAACACCGUGGCAGUGGUAGGAUGGGUAGUGAAAACUGAAUACUCAGAAAUGGAAGUUAUCCAGGAAGAAAGCAGAAUUUCAGGAACUUAAUACACUUUAAUUUGGCACUGAGUAUUUCUGCCUCACUGAACAAGAAGAAUAUCUCAAAAUCAUCACAUUUGGGAUGAUAUAGAAAUAGGGAUUACACACACCCAUCAGUCCGAACCUCAACAGCACAUAAUGUUUUAAAACAAAUUUUAACUGAAAGUGUAAUGAAAGACAAUGGAAAACAUGGCAGGAGUUUCCCAAAGGUGGAUUACAGCCGCCCCUUGUAACGGGGCUGGUGGGGAGAAAAGGGGGUGCUGAAUGACCACAAUGACCAUUGAGUUUCAACCCCCCUGCUAUGUGCAGGGUUGCCAACCACCAGACCAGGCUGCCCAGAGCCACAUCCAGCCUGGCCUUGAAUGCCUCCAGGGACUGAGAUGCGGCAUCCACGACCUCCUUGGGCAACCUGUUCCAGCAAUACUCAUCUCUGUUUCUGUUAGUGCCCUUUGAAAAAAAAAAACACUGAAGCAUGAUAAUGAUGUUUGGUAAUGAUUAAGCCACAUCAUCAAAAGAAGACUGGAAAAAGGGGACAGAGUGAUAAGAAUAGAAGAAAACACAGCGAUACAAAGUGCAAGGUCACACACUUACAUGCAUACUGAAGUGGGGAUUCCUACUCCCCCAAGGGAGGACAAAGACAGAGAGGAGUCUCAUCUUAUUAGCUUAUGAUUACAGAUGACCAAUUUGAUGUGACCUUGAUAACUCGAUCUCAGGAUAUACCAGACGUGGCAUUUCCAGCAAGAUAGGAUAGUAUAUAUUCCCCCAUAUGAGACACAUGGAGUAAAGGACGCUAUUCUGGUCACCUACCUUCAAGGAAAAAGAGCUAGAAAAGGAAAACUGGGAUGAUAAUACAAAUUGUGAGCUUGCCUUUUAUGAUGAAAGACUUUCAGUUUGGCUUGUAUGACUUAGCAAUAUAAAUGUCAAGAUGAGAUGAGAGCGGGCCCUAUAAAUACAUUGGGAAAACAAAUAUCAGAGAGGAGUUAUUUUUAGCCGGAAAAUAUUUUGGCAAAAGAACAGAUAGGUAUAAACUAGCAAUAAACAAUUGUAGUCUAUAAAUUAGAAGGUCUGCAACCAUCAGAGAGAGGCUUUUAAGAGGAGGAAGAAGAGACUGGCAGGUAUCUAAGUGACUUUGAUGUGGUUACCUGCAGUAGAAUUGGUUCCCCUAACCAGAAAGACCCUUCUCAUCCUGUAUUUCUAAGGUCUAGUGCAGUGGAAUUCCUAAAAGUUAAUUAUACAAGUAUCAACAGCAGUUGGCACUUAAUUAAUGAUAUUUAUUAGUAGGUGGAGUGACUGGUUGUUGUUCGGGUACGCUGUGACUGGAUAAAGCCACAGGGACAGUUGUAUCUCUUCUUCAGAAGACUCCAAGAGAGCAGCACGUCUGACCAGGCUUGGUUUUCAGAGAAAGGUUUGCCUGAUCCCUGUUCAUUUGCAUUGCAUCACUAUAAUUAAUCCAGUCUAACCUGUUCCAGUUCGUGGCACUCCUGCGAUGGCGAGAUCAGAAUCGGCUCCAACAUCUCUGAAGGGCUACGCCAUUUGUUCACACCGCAGUUCAACAGCUUUAAACAUCUCGUGGCAAAGCUGCGGUACAACUGCUCUAAAGCUUCACGAGCACGCUGAGGCCCACCUCCUUCCUUCCUGCAAAGGUCGGGCAGCUGGAGGCAGUGACACCAGGUGAAGCUGAGCAUGCUCAUCACUUGGGAAACCCAGGCCCCUGGUGAUCUUCUCUGACGUUAAUUGACUGUCAGACCCUGCAAGAGGGGAGGCAACACCUUUCCUGAUCUGUGGUCUGGAGUAGUGUUUUCCAGACUCUGGAGUGAAUUUCACGUUGUUGCAAAGGAAACGAUGAUGCAGUCCUCCAGCAGCUGCUGUGCUCCAGCAUCCUUGCAAAGGUACACUAUGUACUUUGUGGGUGUAUGUGUGUAUGCAAGCUGCAUAUUCAAAAUCCCUAUUUUUCAUAAGAGCAGGCGGGCCUCCAGGUCUCCCCUCCAGACCUACCUUCCUAUCCCCAACAGAAACGCUGCUAAGGGUUGCCCCCAGCAAAACUGAAGCUAUCAUCCUGAAAGAGAGCGCUUGAAAAAGCAAGCUUUUAUGUGAGACUGCUGGGGGUGUGAUCUCAUUUUCCUACAUGCCAGAUCUAUGAGUCCUGUACCUCAAGUGUGGAAAGGUUCCUCAUUAGUGCAAGUGAAACGGCAAGAGCAAUGUUCUGAAUGAAUAUAUGGUGAUGAGUCUGGAAGAUCGGGCAACUGUUGUCUUUGAAUAGGCAAAUCUAAUUGAUGAACCCAUGAGUCUGCUGAUGGAAUUAACCUGGUUUAAUUAAUUACUCCCUCUUGGUGAAGCUGCAAAAACUGACUGUAGUGUGCUUUAGUCUUUUAGUUUUUAAAAUCAAUCACGUUAAGAAAAAGCGAACAAGUUUGGUUCGGAGAAUGGAAGGGCUGUUACGUGGUCAGUGUAUAUGGCUCUGCAGGUGCCUGGUGAACUGUUGAGCUCCAGAAAGUAAAUCCUGCACGCUGGCCUGUCUGUGCUGGGGGUGUACUUAGCAGCGAUGGCUCCGUGCCUUCAUGCCCAAGCUCUUAGUUCAGCAGAAACAAACCACCAUGCCUAACAUAGAUGGGAUGAAGAUUUGCUUCAGGAAGGGUAUGGGAGCUGUUGGGUCACAGCCUGAACCACUGAUUGAGCAGCUGGGGAAAGGACCCGGUCAGGCCUGGGAGCACAGGUGAAGGCAAUUCAGCUGCAUGAGCACUCUUAGACCUCAUUUAAGAGCUGACUGCCACAGGGGAAAAAUCUCUGGUUGGAGAAUCCUUCCCUGUGGAGGCUUUUCUGUAAGCCUACAUCCGUGGAGAUGGGUGAGUACCUUUACUUUUCCUUUGAAAUAUCAUCCUAUCUACUUUAGUCCUUUUGCUGUUACUCUCUUGUGUUGCCCUUCCACCACGUUAAUCUUUUACACUGUAACAGGAGGUCAGUGGAGCAUUCAGGUGGCAUGUUUGGGGAUGUCCCAGAAGAUCCCAACCUCCUGAAAUCACUAAGUAUUCUUUAUUCACACCAGGGGUUGAACAGUGGAAAAAGAACUGGGAUGAUGCCAUAGUGCUCUCCAAGAGGAGAUGGUGAGUGGGGCAAGCACAGUAUGUUGCUGCUCUUGCAGCCAAGCGGUGAGCCAACGGUGCAAGGUCUGCUCUUGUUGCUAAUAAAGCUGUAUCGCUUCUGCCUCAAAGUCUGCUCCGCUCUUUCCUGCGCAGCUCUCCCCUUGCCCUGCAACCAUCCCCAGGCCUCGGUGCAGCCAAGAUCCCUCGCUCUCGGGAACACGGAGAGCUCUCCUCCCCCCAGAGCCCGUCG